rnacentral:rRNA from 1 species
AACGAACGCUGGCGGCAUGCCUAACACAUGCAAGUCGAACGAGACCUUCGGGUCUAGUGGCGCACGGGUGCGUAACGCGUGGGAACCUGCCCUUAGGUUCGGAAUAACUCCCCGAAAGGGGUGCUAAUACCGGAUAAUGUCUUCGGACCAAAGAUUUAUCGCCUUUGGAUGGGCCCGCGUUGGAUUAGCUAGUUGGUAGGGUAAAAGCCUACCAAGGCGACGAUCCAUAGCUGGUCUGAGAGGAUGAUCAGCCACACUGGGACUGAGACACGGCCCAGACUCCGACGGGAGGGAGCAGUGGGGAAUAUUGGACGAUGGGCGAAAGCCUGAUCCAGCAAUGCCGCGUGAGUGAUGAAGGCCUUAGGGUUGUAAAGCUCUUUUACCCGGGAUGAUAAUGACAGUACCGGGAGAAUAAGCUCCGGCUAACUCCGUG